rnacentral:rRNA from 1 species
AAUGAACGUUGGCGGCGUGGAUUAGGCAUGCAAGUCGUGCGUGUACCCCGCAAGGGGGAAAGCGGCGUAAGGGAGAGUAAUACGUAGAUACGUGCCCUCGGGUCCGGGAUAGCCACGGGAAACUGUGGGUAAUACCGGAUGACGUCUAUGGACCAAAGGUGUGAUUCCGCCCGGGGAUCGGUCUACGUCUUAUCAGCUUGUUGGUGGGGUAAUGGCUCACCAAGGCUACGACGAGUACGGGGUGUGAGAGCAUGCCCCCGCUCACUGGGACUGAGACACUGCCCAGACACCUACGGGUGGCUGCAGUCGAGGAUCUUCGGCAAUGGGCGCAAGCCUGACCGAGCGACGCCGCGUGCGGGAUGAAGGCCUUCGGGUUGUAAACCGCUGUCAGUGGGGAGGAAGGCCCUGUGCAGAGCAGGGUUUGACCUAUCCGCAGAGGAAGUGUGGGCUAAGUUCGUGCCAGCAGCCGCCGUAAGAC